rnacentral:tRNA from 2 species
GACCCACUAGCUCAUCUGGUAGAGCACUGCCCUUUUAAGGCAGGUGUGCCGCGUUCGAGUCGCGGGUGGGUCACCA